rnacentral:lncRNA from 1 species
CACAGGGCCACCAACCUCCACACUCAAUACCAGCCCAGGCUGCCCACAGCCCCAUCCAACCUGGCCUUCAACACCUCCACGGAUGGACGGGGCAUCCACAGCCUCUCUGGGCAGCUGUUCCAGCACCUCCCCACUCUCUCUGUCAAGAACUUCCCCCUCACACCCAUCCUCAAUCUGCCCUCCUUCAGCUUCAAACCAUUGCCCCUUGUCCUGCUCUUAUCUCCCC